UAUAGUUUGGAUCAUGGCUCAGAUUGAACGCUGGCGGCAGGCCUAACACAUGCAAGUCGAACGGUAACAGGAAGCAGCUUGCUGCUUCGCUGACGAGUGGCGGACGGGUGAGUAAUGUCUGGGAAACUGCCUGAUGGAGGGGGAUAACUACUGGAAACGGUAGCUAAUACCGCAUAACGUCGCAAGACCAAAGAGGGGGACCUUCGGGCCUCUUGCCAUCGGAUGUGCCCAGAUGGGAUUAGCUAGUAGGUGGGGUAACGGCUCACCUAGGCGACGAUCCCUAGCUGGUCUGAGAGGAUGACCAGCCACACUGGAACUGAGACACGGCCCAGACUCCUACGGGAGGCAGCAGUGGGGAAUAUUGCACAAUGGGCGCAAGCCUGAUGCAGCCAUGCCGCGUGUAUGAAGAAGGCCUUCGGGUUGUAAAGUACUUUCAGCGGGGAGGAAGGUGAUAAGGUUAAUAACUUUAGCGAUGA
rnacentral:rRNA from 2 species